UACGUAGGGGGCAAGCGUUGUCCGGAUUUAUUGGGCGUAAAGAGCUCGUAGGUGGUUUGUCGCGUUGUUCGUGAAAUCUCACGGCUUAACUGUGAGCGUGCGGGCGAUACGGGCAGACUAGAGUACUGCAGGGGAGACUGGAAUUCCUGGUGUAGCGGUGGAAUGCGCAGAUAUCAGGAGGAACACCGGUGGCGAAGGCGGGUCUCUGGGCAGUAACUGACGCUGAGGAGCGAAAGCGUGGGGAGCGAACAGG
rnacentral:rRNA from 1 species